ACUCUGGCAGGUGGAGAGGACUGAAAGUGUGUCUAAUUGGUUUCCUUAAUUAAGCCCUUAGAUUGACCUGCAGUUCCGGUGCCAUGCACGUACCAGUUCCGUACACACAAGACUCCGGCUACUUGAGGCUCUAGUGCAUUCCAAGCUGGCCUCAGGUUGGUUACCUACCCAAAAUGGCCUUGACAUUUCGAUCCUUUUGGUGCUACCUACUGAAUGUGCGUCAUCACACUGGCCUUUAAGAGGUGCUGGCGAAGGAACCCAGGGCUUUCUUCAGACUAGACACGUACUAAAGACUGAACUACUUCUCCAGCCCAAGAACUACAGUUUUUAAAGGCGGUGGUGUGCACAUUACAUGAAUAGGCGGAUCUCAACGUAAAGCGCCAAAUAAAAGACAACUCCCUUC
rnacentral:lncRNA from 1 species